rnacentral:rRNA from 1 species
CGCAUCUGUGCAUGCAGCAUAUCAAUAAGCGGAGGAAAAGAAACUAACAAGGAUUCCCCUAGUAACGGCGAGUGAAGCGGGAAGAGCUCAAAUUUGAAAUCUUAAAGGGUUUCCCUUUACGAAUUGUAGUUUAAAGAAGUGUUUUCUGUUGAGGUUUUGGUAAAAGUUCUUUGGAAUAGGACAUCAUAGAGGGUGAGAAUCCCGUAUUUGACCUUUACUUUCAACUUUGUGAUACACUUUCAAAGAGUCGGAUUGUUUGGGAAUGCAGUCCAAAAUGGGUGGUAAAUUUCAUCUAAAGCUAAAUAUUGGCGAGAGACCGAUAGCGAACAAGUACCGUGAGGGAAAGACUGAAAAGAACUUUGAAAGAGAGUUAAACAGUACGUGAAAUUGUCAAAAGGGAAGCGUUUGACACCAGUGUUGUUUUUCUGAAAAUCAAUUAAAGAACUGUUUAUGCUAAGCUGUUUAGACUUUAUCAGCUAACUGUUUAGUUUUGAGCUUUUCUUUAAUGCACUUUUCAGUUAACAAGUCAACAUCAAUUUCUUUUGCUGUAAAAAAGCUUGAGGAAGGUGGCUUGAGAUUCGUCUUAAGUGUUUAUAGCCUCUUGCCUAUGCAGUCGGAGAGAUUGAGGUCUGCAGCGUAGAUCCUUCGGGGCUAAAUGCAUUUGUGCUAAGUUAUAGCAUUUUAUAGACAACUUGUUGACUAUGAUUUGUCUUGUAGCUUACUCGCUUAUGUUAUUUUACCUACGCUUAGGAUGUUGAGCGCAUGUCUCUCUCU